rfam:Oryza sativa (indica cultivar-group) chromosome 2, whole genome shotgun sequence.
AAUAAAUGCAGUUUUGCAUUAUUCAUGUUCAACGUUUGACCGUUCGUUUUAUUUGAAAAAAAUUAUGAUUAGUAUUUUUAUUGCUAUUAGAUGAUAAAACAUAAAUAGUAUUUUAUGUGUGACUAUCUUUUUUUUCUUUAAAUUUUUUUCUAAAAUUUUCAAAUAAGAUGGACGGCCAAACGUUGAACACAGAUAUCCAUGGCUAUACUUAUU